UACGUAGGGUGCGAGCGUUGUCCGGAAUUAUUGGGCGUAAAGAGCUCGUAGGCGGUGUGUCACGUCGGCCGUGAAAACCUGCAGCUUAACUGUGGGCGUGCGGUCGAUACGGGCAUCACUGGAGUUCGGCAGGGGAGACUGGAAUUCCUGGUGUAGCGGUGAAAUGCGCAGAUAUCGGAAGGAACAUCAGUGGCGAAAGCGACUUCCUGGACCAGUACCGACGUUCAGGCACGAAAGCGUGGGGAGCAAACAGG
rnacentral:rRNA from 1 species